rnacentral:rRNA from 1 species
GAGUUCUCGUUGAUGAUCGGUGCUUGCACCGAGAUUCAACAUGGAACGAGUGGCGGACGGGUGAGUAACACGUGGGUAACCUGCCCUUAAGUGGGGGAUAACAUUUGGAAACAGAUGCUAAUACCGCAUAGAUCCAAGAACCGCAUGGUUCUUGGCUGAAAGAUGGCGUAAGCUAUCGCUUUUGGAUGGACCCGCGGCGUAUUAGCUAGUUGGUGAGGUAACGGCUCACCAAGGCGAUGAUACGUAGCCGAACUGAGAGGUUGAUCGGCCACAUUGGGACUGAGACACGGCCCAAACUCCUACGGGAGGCAGCAGUAGGGAAUCUUCCACAAUGGACGCAAGUCUGAUGGAGCAACGCCGCGUGAGUGAAGAAGGCUUUCGGGUCGUAAAACUCUGUUGUUGGAGAAGAAUGGUCGGCAGAGUAACUGUUGUCGGCGUGACGGUAUCCAACCAGAAAGCCACGGCUAACUACGUGCCAGCAGCCGCGGUAAUACGUAGGUGGCAAGCGUUAUCCGGAUUUAUUGGGCGUAAAGCGAGCGCAGGCGGUUUUUUAAGUCUGAUGUGAAAGCCCUCGGCUUAACCGAGGAAGCGCAUCGGAAACUGGGAAACUUGAGUGCAGAAGAGGACAGUGGAACUCCAUGUGUAGCGGUGAAAUGCGUAGAUAUAUGGAAGAACACCAGUGGCGAAGGCGGCUGUCUGGUCUGUAACUGACGCUGAGGCUCGAAAGCAUGGGUAGCGAACAGGAUUAGAUACCCUGGUAGUCCAUGCCGUAAACGAUGAAUGCUAGGUGUUGGAGGG